rnacentral:rRNA from 1 species
UACAGAGGGUACAAGCGUUGUUCGGAAUUAUUGGGCGUAAAGCGCGUGUAGGCGGCUUUGCAAGUCGGGUGUGAAAUCCCUCAGCUCAACUGAGGAAGUGCGCCCGAAACUGCAGAGCUUGAAUACCGGAGAGGAUGGCGGAAUUCCCCAAGUAGAGGUGAAAUUCGUAGAUAUGGGGAGGAACACCGGUGGCGAAGGCGGCCAUCUGGACGGAUAUUGACGCUGAGACGCGAAAGCGUGGGUAGCAAACAGG